rnacentral:rRNA from 1 species
GCCAGACUCCUACGGGAGGCAGCAGUGGGGGAUAUUGCACAAUGGGGGGAACCCUGAUGCAGCGACGCCGCGUGGGUGAAGAAGCGCCUCGGCGCGUAAAGCCCUGUCAGCAGGGAAGAAGCAAGACGGUACCUGACUAAGAAGCCCCGGCUAACUACGUGCCAGCAGCCGCGGUAAUACGUAGGGGGCGAGCGUUAUCCGGAUUCACUGGGUGUAAAGGGAGCGUAGACGGCCAUGCAAGCCAGGGGUGAAAGCCCGGGGCCCAACCCCGGGACUGCUCUGGAAACUGCGUCGCUGGAGUACGGGAGGGGCAGGCGGAAUUCCUGGUGUAGCGGUGAAAUGCGUAGAUAUCAGGAGGAACACCGGCGGCGAAGGCGGCCUGCUGGACCGUGACUGACGUUGAGGCUCGAGAGCGUGGGGAGCAAACAGGAUUAGAUACCCGUGUAGA